GCGGUAAAAAGCUCGUAGUUGGAUUUCUGUUGAGAUCGGUCGGUCCCCACUCUGUGGGCGUAUCUGAUAUGGUCUUGGCAUCCCCAUAGGGAACCGGAGGCACUUCACUGUGUGGCCGGGAAUCUAUGACUUUUACUUUGAGGAAAUUAGAGUGUUCAAAGCAGGCGACCGCCUUGAAUACGUUAGCAUGGAAUAAUAAUAUAGGACUUUGGCCCUAUUUUGUUGGUUUCUAGGACUAAAGUAAUGAUUAACAGGGAUAUUUGGGGGCAUUUGUAUUAACCGGUCAGAGGUGGAAUUCUUGGAUUCGGUUACGACAAACUAAUGCGAAAGCAUUUGCCAAGGAUGUUUUCAUUGAU
rnacentral:rRNA from 1 species